CACAGCCGCCGUUCUCUGUGGUUCGCGGAAGGGCCCGCGGCGGCCAGAGGCAGGCCUGUUCCCGAGCGGCGGCCUGGCAACAUGUGGAGCCGGGGGAGAGCCUGCGUCUUCUCCGCGGGACUGUUGCUCGGGGUCCGCCGUCUAAGCAACGGCGCGGGCCGGAGGAAAGAGGCCCCGGCGGCCGCCGCUUCUUCCUUCUUUCUCAGCCAGCCGGAUGUUCAUGUGCACUUUCUAGACCAUGUUCUGACAAACAGAAUCAAGAGUAUUCAACUUAUAUUUGAAAGAAGAACAGGAACUCUCAUAGACAAAAGCUCGUUAGAUGAAACCAAGUAUGAAAAACUUGCUGAAGAAACACUGGAAUCGUUAACAGAUUUCUUUGAGGAUUUGGCAGACAAGCCAUUUACUUCUAAAGAUUACGAUGUCUCCUUUGGGAAUGGAGUACUAACAGUGAAACUCGGUGGAAACAUGGGAACUUACGUAAUCAAUAAACAGACACCAAAUAAACAGAUAUGGCUCUCUUCUCCAAUCAGUGGACCAAAGCGUUAUGACUGGACUGGGAAAAAUUGGAUUUAUUCUCAUGAUGGCAUUUCUCUUCAUGAUCUAUUGUCAAGGGAACUUUCACUUGCAUUAGCAAUUGAACUGAAUUUAUCAACUUUAACACACGCUGGUGGAGAGCCUAAUUCUUGAUAUCUGUCUAUAAGAAUCCAAAGACUUUGGACUUUGACCCAGUUCUUUCUUCCUCAUGAUCUGAACAUGGGUAACAUGAGGGAAGCUGCUGGGAAUUGAAAGGAGCCUCAAGAUUUGCAGAAAAUAAAAUGGAUGGGGAAAAACUCAAAAGGCCUCAUUAAGGGUGUCAUCAUUCUCAGGGGCCAUGAAUGCUGACCAACUGUUAAAAAAAUCUAUAGUUCUGUACCUCCGACUGGGAUGAAGGUUUGGUCCAUAAUGUUCUAUCUUCUUGACAAUAUAAAGGAGAUUUUCACAAUUGUUCUUGAUUCCAGGUAACAAAAAACCCCAUUUUUUGCCUCACAAAUGAGUCAUUCAAAUAAAAAUGAAAUUGCUAUUAAAAAGAAUAUAAAUGGGUUUCGAUCAUUGGUAUUUG